CGGCCCCCUACUCGAACGAGCCGCUGCCGGAACCCUGCCGGGCGCGCCGCUACCCCCCUGCGCCAGCACGCCACCACGACGACCUCCCAUUCCCAGUGCACCGCCGCAGGCCCCCUGCCCCAGCGGCCACCGCCACGACCUCCCUCUCCCAGUGCGGCGCCACCUAGCCCCUGCCUUCGAGCGUCGCCGGUCUUCGCGCACAACUAUCCCACUGCUGCCUGAUGAGCCAACUCUGUACUGAGGCUAGCCAUGCUGGUCGAUCACCGAGGGACGGCCGGUCCUUGCCACCGGCGGCCGCACUCCUGACGUGUCUCGAGCGAUUGUGCACAUAGAGGUUUGCUCCCAUCAUCCUCCUCCUCCCAGAGUACGAUGGAAAUGGCGACAAACAUCCAGUAGGUCCUCCUGUGCCUCUGCUCGCCUCGCUUUCACCACCGGACAGCGGUGCAAAUCCAUGUAAAAAAGUUUAGGUAAAGUGUGGAUCCCUGUACAAAGUUCAGCUAAGUUCAGUACAAAAAGUUCAACUAAUUUCUGGCAAUGUUUAAGUUGAGUUCAGUGAAAAAUUCAAGCUCAGUUUAGUAAAAAAAUUAAGUCAAAAGUUGCAUAAUGCCCAUUCUGCUUGCGCUGGUGCACUCCUGCUGUUUGUUGCUGCAGCAGGGUGAUGUGAGUGAGUGAGUGAGAGAGAGAUAGAAAUGAUCUUCCACAUUGACUAACUCGUGACACACUCGGUUCAGUUUCUUGAUUUAGUCCAAUUCAAUUCCUCAUUUUGUUUCAGUUCAAUGGCUACUAUCUCUCUUAGUUUUGAUGUUUAAUUACAAAGUCUAUGUACAUUAACAGCAAAUAAGUUCAAGUAUAUCAAUAAAUGGAAGUUUAGGUAUAUGGAAUUUGAUUCUUGUUGGGUGUAUACAUGAGUAUAAAUGGAUUUUCUUCUUGUUGAACGAAGUUGAACUUGUCGUUAUGCGUCACGGCCGGGGGUGGGAGGCGUGCAGCGGCCGGAGGUGGGAGGCACACGACAGCCGGGGGUGGGAGACCCCCUGUGCAGCUGUGGAGUCCGUCCUGGCUGAUCUACUUUGGCCAUUCAACUUUGCGUCUUCCGCUCGGCCAGCGCUCGACGAGGAGCACCCCGGUCUCGCUCGUGUGUGGAGUUUGGAGUAUAUUCUACCGAUGUUCUGCUCUCCUUUAUUUUUCAACUGAACGUGCUGCCAUGUGUGGAUUUCCCCUCUAACUCCACAACAAGUUGAAUCCCGAAAAUUAUAAUGGUAAGUGCAAGAUUCAGUACUGUCCAUUUUGAUUUUCUAUAAAAAAAAGGCCAAUCAUUCUUGUUGCUUCACAUACACUAGUAUACGGGAGUACUGGAAUCCAUCCACGGAACAAUCAAGCAACCAUAGAUAUCAGCCCACCACCGUGUUGUGGAUGUGAUCUUUGUGCGCUUUUGAGUACUGUAAAACAAUAGUAUGCUUCUGGUUGCUGCUUGCUGCCACUGCCGAAUUGUGUAAGUGCAAAAAGUUUCAUAUCGCAAGUUCAAAGAGGGUUGUAUGCAAGUUCAGAAGUUUGUUUGGAGCAUCUUUAGGUGUUUGUUGUAAUGUAGUAAAUAGUUUUUAAUACUGAAAACUAACCUAGUGAAAAAAUGUCCAAGCGACCAUCAUGUCUGCCUCCUGACCCCUACUGUCAGGUCGCGGCCUCUUCUGCCGUCAGGUCGCAGCCUCUUCCGCCGUCAGGUCGCAGCCUCUUCCUUCUGCAGGUCGCCGCCUCGUACUGCUGCAGGCCAUGCCCCAUCCCCCAUUCUCGUGUGGUCGCCAACGAGGUAUCCUACUACAACGGUGGUCACCGCCCCAGAACUCUCUCCGGUUCAUUUUGAUCUACUUUUGCACAUUUGUUCUUUAUCUCACGAAUUUUGUUAUGUAGGAGGUGACCAAUUGUUGAUCCUGAAGUUUCAUCGCAUGAUUUUUUGUCUCUGAAUUUUGCGCCAAUUCUUGAUCAUGAAGCAUUAAUGCUUGAGCACUGGUUUUUGUGUGUUAGGAGUGUUUUUGUUCCUAGAUCAGUUGCUCAACGACAGAAUUGUGUAUCGCACAGUACAUGUAUUACUACUAUGAAGGUUCAGAAAUAAGAACUCAAAGAAGUAUUGACAGCAUAGCUACUGUAUAUUCAAGGAGUCGGGUUUUGCUCCUGCGUCAUCUCGUCUCCUCCGUUCAGCAAAAGCCUCUAGAUAAGUUCACACAUAUGGUUUUGUUCUUUCUAUAAUUCUUGAGUCCAGACUCCUUCAUUUUUUGUUCCUGAGAAAUUAAAUAAACUUGUAGAAGUUUGGGGUAUAAAAUUCUGUAAGUUCGAAAUCGGGAAACUGGUAAGUGCAGACAAAAUUAAAACUGUCAAAGAACAUGAGAGUGUUUGUCAAAGAACUGAGGCUUCCCCACGACAGUACAAACUUUUUAAAUGUUUGAAUUUUGUUACAGCAAAAACUAAAUGGGUGGCAAGAUGAAUAUAAUUAUUAUUAGAAGUUUCUUUUUGAACUUCUCGGGUUAAUAUACAUGAACUUGAUUAUCUUUUUAACCAGUUAAAUAUACAUGGUUGGCAAGAUGACUAUAGUUGUUAUAGCAAAAACAGUACAUUUUUUCAAGAAAAGUUUCUGUUCGAACUUCUCCGAUUAAUAUAGAUGAACUCAAUUAUCUUUUUAAUAUGCACUCACAUGAGCUCGUUUGGAUUUGUGUGUAUAUUUGUAACACAAUCAGUUGAGAUCUGGAGAGAUCAUAAGUUCAGUCGGCCUUGGCAUCACAAACGGGUUCAGUUCGGUCUCGCACGGUGGGCAGGUCCCCGAUGGUGUGUGCAUCAGGUCUACUCGCACGAGUGGACAUCAGAUCACGCAAGUGGGCAGGUCCCCAAUGCUCGAUCCAGGAGGUGCUAGCUCAUGCUGGCUGGAACUAGGAUGCAAAAGGGUUGACGGAUCCAUGCCGCACAAGCACUGGUGCUCUACUUUCUUCUUACUUUGUGUUCUAAUUUGCUUUCUUAUUAUUUUCAGUUUGCGAGAUACAAAAAAAGUUAAAAAAAUGUUUUGCCUGGAGUUCAUAUUAUUUGCUACCCCGUGAUGUACGUCUAUAGUUUCUCCCUUCAAAUGUGUUGAU